AGAGACACUGACCCUCCUCCGUGUUUUAGGAGCAGCGGUUGCGGCAGCGGAACACGGAGACAGAGGAGAGCCUGGCCAAGCGGCUGGCGGCCGCUCAGGUUGACCUGGAGAGCAGCAAGGAGCAGGGCUUGUUUGACCUGGUCAUCGUCAACGACAACCUGGACGUGGCCUAUCGGGCCCUGGAGGAGGCCCUGGCCGAGGAAAUCAAGAAGGCUCAGAGGACCAGCCGCUCCUGAGCAGGACCAGCAGCUGCGUACUCCCUGCUGGGGACUGCGCUCACCUCAGCUAGCGCCCAGACUGCCGCGGCCAGAGGACCCUGGCCUCCCCUUCCCCCUCUGCCGUGGGAGCUGGGUCAGGGUGUAAUAAAGAACUGCUGGGCAGCAGUGUCCGUGA